UGAGCUUUGAGCUUUGGCCUUGGCUUCAACCGAUUCAACCCACCACAAGAGCACAAGAGCACAAGUGCGUCACAAGCGUCACACACACACACAAACACUCGGAAAAAAACAACAACAACUGGGCCUAGAGGGCAAAACCAACAACACACACGUUAAUGAACACACACACUGGCAAACAAAGUGGGCAACAAACAGGAGCACAGAGAGAGUGAGAUUGAGAGGGAUAGCGGAGGAAGAGAGUGAGAAAUUCGCAAUUUGGCACACUGCGAAUUACC